ACAGAUCACAGAUUAACUGAUUUACCAUGGCAACUAGAGCCGCGUACUUUUCCCCGUCGGAAGCACAAAUCCUCAUGGAGGCAUACGAGGAGGUAAAAUAUAUAAUUAAGAAGAAAGGCAACACCGCCACAGUGAUAAAGCAAAGAGAAAAAAGCGUGGCAAAGUAUUGCAGACCGCCUGAAUGCAUUAAACAUGAACGGGCCAAAACGGACAUGGCAGCAGGUCAAAAUCAAAUACAAGAACAUUCUGCAGAAUGCAGUGAAAAAGAAUACCCACAGACAAGGCACGGGUGGUGGGUCACCAAAGGCUGACCUUACCCCAGCAGAGGACAUGGCCUUGGAGCUAAAUAAAGGCAGGCCCGUCUUAGAGGGGAUCCCUGGGGGGAAAGAGACGAGCAUAGGUUCCUCCCAAGAUGCCACCCGCUUCAUUCAAGUGUCUGGCAGCACUGUGUUCCUGUUAGAGCCACCAGCACAAGCACCAGACGAUGCUGAUCCGGUGAGUACUCCAUCAAAGGCAUACUGUAGGCCUGGCAUGUCUUGUCUACUAGCUUCAAUAUGAAUCCGAUUAAAUGUGAUAGGGUGAAGGCCCCAGUGCAGCAGCAACAGCACAUGAUGGAGACGAUGAUGAGGAGGAGACCAUCUCUCUGGAUUCCAGAAGGCAUGAGGACCCAGAUGCUAUACAGUGGGAAAACCAGCCUGGCAACAUAGUGCGUAUUAAUAAAAGGACACCACAUCCUGCCAAAUUCCAGCUGCGCUAAUUGUAUUGUGUUCACAGAGCUCACAAGCUAUCAGAAAGUUGUAUGGCAACCACCUCCGGCGCCAAAUAGAACUGGCAGACAUAGACAUUCAGUACAAGAAGAAAAAGAUGGAAAAUCUUGCACUG